rnacentral:rRNA from 1 species
CUCAUCAGGUGAAGGAAAGAGCGUCGAUGAAGAGCGCGGCUAUCCGCGUGAACUGAUGCGAAUUGCAAGACUCAGUGAACAUUGACACCUCGAACGCAUAUUGCGCAAAGCUGGUUUCGGGUUCAGUGAUU